rnacentral:rRNA from 1 species
CAGGUGUUGCAUGGCUGUCGUCAGCUCGUGUCGUGAGAUGUUCGGUUAAGUCCGCUAACGAGCGCAACCCUCGCCGUAUGUUACAAGUGUCAUACGGGACUGCCGGUAAAAAGCCGGAGGAAGGUGAGGAUGAUGUCAAGUCAGCAUGACCUUUAUAUCCAGGGCUACACACACGCUACAAUGGUCUGUACAAUUGGUUGCCAAGCCGCGAGGCGGAGCCAAUCCGUAAAGCAGGCCUCAGUUCAGAUUGCAGUCUGCAACUCGACUGCAUGAAGCCGGAGUUGCUAGUAACCGCAGGUCAGCAAUACUGCGGUGAAUACGUUCCCGGGUCUU